rnacentral:rRNA from 1 species
AUGCUGGCCUGCAUCGCGUGCUCCGCAAAGGAAGGCGGGGAGGACGGCUCCCGUGCCGCGGCCACGCCGGCCGUCAGGUCUCUCACCUCACAGCUCAAGGACAUGGUGCUCAAGUUCUCUGGCUCCAGCAAGCACUACAAGGGGGCGGCCGCCGGGAGCCCCUCUUUCAGGAGCUACCGACGCCCCUACCCGGGCUUCGUCGACGACACUACCUUCACGCCGAGGCCGGCGAGCGACGUCGGCGCGUACACGAGGACUACUGCGGCAGCUGCGAACGGGAGCGCGCGGGCCGCCUCGUCGGCAACGUGGGACAUGACCGGGCGCGGAUGGCCAGGCGUGGACGAGGAGGACGGCGGCGAGAUCGUCGCCGCUGGGGUGGACGCCGCCGUGCCCCGGGAGUGGACGGCGCAGGUGGAGCCCGGCGUGCAGAUCACCUUCGUCACGCUCCCCGGCGGCGGCAACGAUCUCAAGCGCAUCCGCUUCAGCCGUGAGAUGUUUAACAAGUGGGAGGCGCAGCGGUGGUGGGGAGAGAACUACGACCGCAUCGUUGAGCUGUACAACGUGCAGACGUUCAGCGGCCGGCAGCAGGGGGGCUCCACUCCGACGUCCUCCGUCGACGACUCGCUUCUGAGAGAUUCGUCCUAUUCCCGGGGCGGCUCCACGAGGGACAGCCCGGUCGUCAUGAUGCCGCCGCCGCCGCCGUCAUCCUCGUCGAGCAAAGACCCGAUGUCCCGUAGCGUGUCCUGCAAGGCGAUGAUGCCCCCGCCGUCGGGGCCUUACGGGGCGGGGCCAUCCACCAGGGCGGCGUACUACCCGUCCGCGGCGGCCGUGCCCGACCCGUCCGACCACGUGUGGGCGCACCACUUCAACAUGCUCAACUCCGCGGCGGUCGGCGGGCAUUCCUCCUACGACCCGUCGCGCGCCACCACCUCCUCCCGCGACGAGGCCUCCGUGUCCAUCAGCAACGUCAGCGACAUGGAGGCGACGGAGUGGAUCGAGCAGGACGAGCCCGGCGUGUGCCUCACCAUCCGCGAGCUCGGCGACGGCACGCGCGAGCUCCGCCGCGUCCGGUUCAGCCGGGAGAGGUUUGGCGAGGACAGGGCAAAGGUGUGGUGGGAGCAGAACAGAGACAGAAUACAGGCGCAGUAUCUGUAG